GCCCGGAUGGCGGAACUGGUAGACGCACGGGACUUAAAAUCCCGCGGGGAAACCCAUGUCGGUUCGAUCCCGACUCCGGGCACCA
rnacentral:tRNA from 1 species